rnacentral:lncRNA from 1 species
UUGGAAGACCAAAAGAAGGAAUGAUCUGGGAGGGUAGGAGGGAGAGGGUAGCCAGCAAGAUCUAUAAUUUCCUUGUCAUUAGGUAAUCUUCACUCAAUGCCAGAAUGUCAAGUGAUAAAUGUACAGGUGAUAAUCAGAGAAUUCAGUCUAUUGAAUAGAAGAAGAAAGAAGGAAAAAGAAAUGGAAAAGAAGAGGAGGUGAUGAUGAUGAAGAUGAUGAUGAUAAAUAUUAGUGCAUAUCUAUCCUGCAUUAGAAGUCAAGGCAAUGAGAUGAAAAGCUUAAGGAGAUAAUAAUGAAUAAACUUGCUGAUUUUUUGUUGUUUCUCUAAUUG